AGAGUUUGAUCAUGGCUCAGGACGAACGCUGGCGGCGUGCCUAACACAUGCAAGUCGCACGGGACCCGCAAGGNNCCGUGGCGGACGGGUGCGUAACACGUGAGGAACAUGCCUAUCGGCGGGGGAUAGCCGGCCCAACGGCCGGGUAAUACCGCGUACGCUCAUCGGGGGGCAUCCCCUGGUGAGGAAAGCAGCAAUGCGCCGAUAGAGUGCCUCGCGGCCUAUCAGCUAGUUGGUGAGGUAACGGCUCACCAAGGCAACGACGGGUAGCUGGUCUGAGAGGAUGAUCAGCCACAUUGGGACUGAGACACGGCCCAGACUCCUACGGGAGGCAGCAGUGGGGAAUCUUGCGCAAUGGCCGAAAGGCUGACGCAGCGACGCCGCGUGUGGGAUGACGGCCUUCGGGUUGUAAACCACUGUCGGAAGGGACGAAUGGCCCGCAAGGGCAGUGACGGUACCUUCAAAGGAAGCACCGGCUAACUCCGUGCCAGCAGCCGCGGUAAUACGGAGGGUGCGAGCGUUGUCCGGAAUCACUGGGCGUAAAGGGCGCGUAGGCGGCCCGGUAAGUAGGGGGUGAAAUCUUGCGGCUUAACCGCAAGGCUGCCUUCUAGACUGCCAGGCUCGAGCACAGUAGAGGCAGGUGGAAUUCCCGGUGUAGCGGUGGAAUGCGUAGAGAUCGGGAAGAACAUCAGUGGCGAAGGCGGCCUGCUGGACUGUAGCUGACGCUGAGGCGCGACAGCGUGGGGAGCAAACAGGAUUAGAUACCCUAGUAGUCC
rnacentral:rRNA from 1 species